rnacentral:rRNA from 1 species
UACGAAGGGGGCGAGCGUUGUUCGGAUUCAUUGGGCGUAAAGGGUGCGUAGGUGGCGUCGUAAGUCAGGUGUGAAAUUUCGGAGCUUAACUCCGAAACUGCAUUCGAUACUGCCGUGCUUGAGGACUGGAGAGGAGACUGGAAUUUACGGUGUAGCGGUGAAAUGCGUAGAUAUCGUAAGGAAGACCAGUGGCGAAGGCGGGUCUCUGGACAGUUCCUGACGCUGAGGCACGAAGGUCAGGGGAGCAAACGGG